GUGGGUGUGGUAUAUGGGACACAGCUGUUAAUCGUGAUCAUUUCAUUGAUUAUUGCUAAGUUGCAGCAGACUCGGGUUCGAUUCCCGGCACCCGCA